GGAUGUGAAGGCUAUCUGGCUGCGACAUCUGUCACCUCAUUGAUCGCCAGGGUUGAUUCGGCUGAUCUGGCUGGUUAGGCGGGUGUCCCCUUCCUCCCUCACCACUCCAUGUGCGUCCCUCCGGAAGCUGCGCACUAGGUUGAAAUGGACGCCCUUCCCUGAAUAGAGACAGACCGGUCUUUGGUUGAGGGUAUAAGAGUAGAGUAGCUGUACUCCCCUGCUGGAACCUCCAAAACAAGCUCUCAAGGUGAGAAACUGAUAGCAUUU
rnacentral:snRNA from 1 species